UUUUUUUUUUUUUUUUUUUUUUUUUUUAAGAGGAAAUGAAUAAAAGUCUAACUAACUUAUAUGUUUCUUUCUCUCCCUGCUAGAAUAAGAAUAGAAAAUGAACAAACACCUGUUACAGCCACAAGAAUCUGGCCGUACUAAGCCUAACAGGUUCCCUAAAGGGAUGUUUAUGAAAGCAGGAGAUUAUCAGGGUAUCAGUAGCAGACCAUAAAGGGUAGCAAAAUCAGGAAAUGAAGGCAGGGUAAUCAACAUACCUGUGAAGAAUAUGGUAAGUCAUGUCUGCUUCCUACUACCAUAGACCUAAAGAUUUUUUAGGUUGUUAUAUAUGGUUGUAGCCUUGUAGAUUUUUAAUAUAUAGUUGUAUGGUUUCUAGUACUUUUACUGCCCUUUCUCACAAUAAGCUAACCCUUACUAACAAUUUUUAAAUUCUGUUUAGUCUUAUGCCUAAGAAAAUAAUUUUUGAAAAGGAAAUAUUUUUUUGCACCAGAGCUUAAGAGACAUAAGAAGAAAUGGGGCAAAGAAGACCCUGGAUUAACUCUGAGGGACUGACCCAAGGGAACCACAGAGUUCAAAGCACUUGUAGGCAACAUGCAUUUAGUAGCAAGAAGUUUAAGGAGAUAUGUUGGGCAAUGGCAGAAGACCAGAAAAAGAGACUGAGUAGAACUUUCUCUCCCAUACAUAACUGGAAACAUUCAAGUCAGUGUCAAACCAGAAGCAGACUUCAUUCUUUUUGUGCAGUUACCACAUGAGGAAAACAAGUUUGGUCACAACUAUCUUUUGGACUCAUCGCUGGGACUUUACAGUUGUACACACAAUUUCUUAGAUUGUCACCUUGUACGUGCUUUCCUACAUGGGGUCUUUUCAGUCUUCAAAUGAGAUCCUGGCCUGUGUCAGGAAUAGUGUGGCCAGCAGGACAAGGGCAGAGAUUCUUCCCUGAUACUCUACACUGGUGAAGCCGCACCUUGAGUGCUGUGUCCAGUGCUGGGCUCCUCCAUUCAGGAAGGACAUUGAGGUGCUGGAGUGUGUCCAGAGAAGGGCGAUGGAGCUGGUGAAGGGUCUGGAGCACAAGUCCUGUGAGGAGCAGUUGAGGGAGCUGUGGUUGUUCAGCUCAGAGAAGAGGAGGCUCAGGGAGACCUGGUCACUCUCUACAACUGCCUGAAAGGAGGGAGUAGCCAGGUGGGGAUCAGUCUCUUCUCCCAGACAGCCAAUGACAGGAUGAGAGGACACAAUCUUAACCUGUGCCAGAUGAGGUUUAAUUUGGACAUUAGGAAGAAGUUCUUCACAGAAAAUGUGAUUAGAUAUUGGAAUGCACUACCAGGGAGGUAGUGGAAUCCAGGAGGUAUUUAAAGAAAGAAGAAAGACGGGAUGUGGCACUCAGUGUCAUGCCCUAAUUGACAUGGUGUUGUUUGGUUGUAGUUUGGACUUAAUGAUCUCAGAGGCCUUUUCCAACCUCAUUGAUUCAGUGAUUUUGUGAUAAAAGAGUUUCUUAAUGUCUUCUUG
rnacentral:lncRNA from 1 species